GUGGAAGCGUCUGGAAAGGCGUGCGAUACAGGGUGACAGCCCCGUACACAAAAAUGCACAUACUGUGAGCUCGAUGAGUAGGGCGGGACACGUGGUAUCCUGUCUGAAUAUGGGGGGACCAUCCUCCAAGGCUAAAUACUCCUGACUGACCGAUAGUGAACCAGUACCGUGAGGGAAAGGCGAAAAGAACCCCGGCGAGGGGAGUGAAAAAGAACCUGAAACCGUGUACGUACAAGCAGUGGGAGCACGCUUAGGCGUGUGACUGCGUACCUUUUGUAUAAUGGGUCAGCGACUUAUAUUCUGUAGCAAGGUUAACCGAAUAGGGGAGCCGAAGGGAAACCGAGUCUUAACUGGGCGUUAAGUUGCAGGGUAUAGACCCGAAACCCGGUGAUCUAGCCAUGGGCAGGUUGAAGGUUGGGUAACACUAACUGGAGGACCGAACCGACUAAUGUUGAAAAAUUAGCGGAUGACUUGUGGCUGGGGGUGAAAGGCCAAUCAAACCGGGAGAUAGCUGGUUCUCCCCGAAAGCUAUUUAGGUAGCGCCUCGUGAAUUCAUCUCCGGGGGUAGAGCACUGUUUCGGCAAGGGGGUCAUCCCGACUUACCAACCCGAUGCAAACUGCGAAUACCGGAGAAUGUUAUUACGGGAGACACACGGCGGGUGCUAACGUCCGUCGUGAAGAGGGAAACAACCCAGACCGCCAGCUAAGGUCCCAAAGUCAUGGUUAAGUGGGAAACGAUGUGGGAAGGCCCAGACAGCCAGGAUGUUGGCUUAGAAGCAGCCAUCAUUUAAAGAAAGCGUAAUAGCUCACUGGUCGAGUCGGCCUGCGCGGAAGAUGUAACGGGGCUAAACCAUGCACCGAAGCUGCGGCAGCGACGCUUAUGCGUUGUUGGGUAGGGGAGCGUUCUGUAAGCCUGUGAAGGUGUGCUGUGAGGUAUGCUGGAGGUAUCAGAAGUGCGAAUGCUGACAUAAGUAACGAUAAAGCGGGUGAAAAGCCCGCUCGCCGGAAGACCAAGGGUUCCUGUCCAACGUUAAUCGGGGCAGGGUGAGUCGACCCCUAAGGCGAGGCCGAAAGGCGUAGUCGAUGGGAAACAGGUUAAUAUUCCUGUACUUGGUGUUACUGCGAAGGGGGGACGGAGAAGGCUAUGUUGGCCGGGCGACGGUUGUCCCGGUUUAAGCGUGUAGGCUGGUUUUCCAGGCAAAUCCGGAAAAUCAAGGCCGAGGCGUGAUGACGAGGCACUACGGUGCUGAAGCAACAAAUGCCCUGCUUCCAGGAAAAGCCUCUAAGCAUCAGGUAACAUCAAAUCGUACCCCAAACCGACACAGGUGGUCAGGUAGAGAAUACCAAGGCGCUUGAGAGAACUCGGGUGAAGGAACUAGGCAAAAUGGUGCCGUAACUUCGGGAGAAGGCACGCUGAUACGUAGGUGAAGCGACUUGCUCGUGGAGCUGAAAUCAGUCGAAGAUACCAGCUGGCUGCAACUGUUUAUUAAAAACACAGCACUGUGCAAACACGAAAGUGGACGUAUACGGUGUGACGCCUGCCCGGUGCCGGAAGGUUAAUUGAUGGGGUUAGCGCAAGCGAAGCUCUUGAUCGAAGCCCCGGUAAACGGCGGCCGUAACUAUAACGGUCCUAAGGUAGCGAAAUUCCUUGUCGGGUAAGUUCCGACCUGCACGAAUGGCGUAAUGAUGGCCAGGCUGUCUCCACCCGAGACUCAGUGAAAUUGAACUCGCUGUGAAGAUGCAGUGUACCCGCGGCAAGACGGAAAGACCCCGUGAACCUUUACUAUAGCUUGACACUGAACAUUGAGCCUUGAUGUGUAGGAUAGGUGGGAGGCUUUGAAGUGUGGACGCCAGUCUGCAUGGAGCCGACCUUGAAAUACCACCCUUUAAUGUUUGAUGUUCUAACGUGGACCCGUGAUCCGGGUUGCGGACAGUGUCUGGUGGGUAGUUUGACUGGGGCGGUCUCCUCCUAAAGAGUAACGGAGGAGCACGAAGGUUGGCUAAUCCUGGUCGGACAUCAGGAGGUUAGUGCAAUGGCAUAAGCCAGCUUGACUGCGAGCGUGACGGCGCGAGCAGGUGCGAAAGCAGGUCAUAGUGAUCCGGUGGUUCUGAAUGGAAGGGCCAUCGCUCAACGGAUAAAAGGUACUCCGGGGAUAACAGGCUGAUACCGCCCAAGAGUUCAUAUCGACGGCGGUGUUUGGCACCUCGAUGUCGGCUCAUCACAUCCUGGGGCUGAAGUAGGUCCCAAGGGUAUGGCUGUUCGCCAUUUAAAGUGGUACGCGAGCUGGGUUUAGAACGUCGUGAGACAGUUCGGUCCCUAUCUGCCGUGGGCGCUGGAGAACUGAGGGGGGCUGCUCCUAGUACGAGAGGACCGGAGUGGACGCAUCACUGGUGUUCGGGUUGUCAUGCCAAUGGCACUGCCCGGUAGCUAAAUGCGGAAGAGAUAAGUGCUGAAAGCAUCUAAGCACGAAACUUGCCCCGAGAUGAGUUCUCCCUGACCCUUUAAGGGUCCUGAAGGAACGUUGAAGACGACGACGUUGAUAGGCCGGGUGUGUAAGCGCAGCGAUGCGUUGAGCUAACCGGUACUAAUGAACCGUGAGGCUUAACCUUACAACGCCGAAG
rnacentral:rRNA from 1 species